rnacentral:rRNA from 1 species
UACGUAGGUGGCAAGCGUUAUCCGGAUUUAUUGGGCGUAAAGGGAACGCAGGCGGUCUUUUAAGUCUGAUGUGAAAGCCUUCGGCUUAACCGGAGUAGUGCAUUGGAAACUGGGAGACUUGAGUGCAGAAGAGGAGAGUGGAACUCCAUGUGUAGCGGUGAAAUGCGUAGAUAUAUGGAAGAACACCAGUGGCGAAAGCGGCUCUCUGGUCCGUAACUGACACUGAGGCUCGAAAGCGUGGGGAGCAAACAGG